CCAAUAGCGUAUAUUAAAGUUGUUGCAGUUAAAAAGCUCGUAGUUGAAUUUCGGGAUCGACGGGUCGGUCGCGCCUCUGGUGUGUACUGGCCCUGUCGGUUUCUCCCUUCUGACGAACCACGAUGUCAUUAAUUUGGUGUCGUGGGAAAUCAGGACUGUUACUUUGAAAAAAUUAGAGUGUUUAAAGCAAGCAUUCGCUUGAAUACAUUAGCAUGGAAUAAUGAAAUAGGACGUUUGAUCUUAUUUUGUUGGUUUCUAAGAUCGACGUAAUGAUUAAUAGGGAUAGUUGGGGGCAUUAGUAUUCAAUUGUCAGAGGUGAAAUUCUUGGAUUUAUUGAAGACUAACUACUGCGAAAGAAUUUGCCAAGGAUGUUUUCAUUAAUCAAGAACGAAAGUUAGGAGAUCGAAGACGAUCAGAUACCGUCGUAGUCUUAACCAUAAACUAUGACGACUAGGGAUCGGAUGAUGUUAAUUUUUUAAUGACUCAUUCGGCGCCUUACG
rnacentral:rRNA from 1 species